GCGCCUGUAGCUCAGGGGACAGAGCAACGGCCUUCUAAGCCGUGGGUCAGGGGUUCGAAUCCCCUCAGGCGCGCCA
rnacentral:tRNA from 1 species